rnacentral:rRNA from 2 species
CUGGAAAAGCAAAUGUAGGCAUGAGUAACGAUAAAAUCCGUGAGAAACGGAUUCGCCGCAAGACUAAGGUUUCCUCGAUCGAUGUUAAUCAGAUCAGGGUUAGUCGGGUCCUAAGGUAUAUCCGAGAGGAGAAGCCGAUGGCAAACAGGUUAAUAUUCCUGUACCAGUGUAUACUGCGAUGUGGUGACGAAGGCGCGUAAGGCUCGCGUACUGACGGAAUAGUACGUUGAAGUGCGUAGGCGUUGAAGGGGAUAGGUAAAUCCGUUCCUUGAGCUGAAACACGAUAGUACACCAAUUUCUUCGGAAAGCGGUGAUAGUAGCCCCAAGCAUACUUCCAAGAAAACCCACUAAGCUUCAGGUAUAUACUGCCCGUACCGUAAACCGACACAGGUAGUCGAGGAGAGUAUCCUCAGGCGCUCGAGUGAUCCGUGGCUAAGGAACUAGGCAAAAUAGACGCGUAACUUCGGGAGAAGCGUCGCUCGCUCAGCGAUGAGUGAGCCGCAGUGAAGAGGCCCAGGCGACUGUUUAGCAAAAACACAGGACUCUGCUAAAUCGAAAGAUGAAGUAUAGGGUCUGACACCUGCCCGGUGCCGGAAGGUUAAGGAAGGGACUUAGGCUUAGGCCAAAGGUCUUAACUGAAGCCCCGGUAAACGGCGGCCGUAACUAUAACGGUCCUAAGGUAGCGAAAUUCCUUGUCGGGUAAGUUCCGACCUGCACGAAUGGUGUAACGAUCUGGGCACUGUCUCGGCCACGAGCUCGGUGAAAUUGAAGUAUCGGUGAAGAUGCCGAUUACCCGCAACGGGACGAAAAGACCCCGUGAACCUUUACUACAGCUUCACGUUGUGCUUGGGUAUAAGAUGUGUAGGAUAGGUGGGAGACUAUGAAGCGGCUGCGCCAGUGGCUGUGGAGUCAUCCUUGAAAUACCACCCUUCUUAUACUUAGGUUCUAAUCCCCUACCCUGGGGAGACAUCGUGUGGUGGGUAGUUUGACUGGGGUGGUCGCCUCCUAAAGAGUAACGGAGGCUCGCAAAGGUACCCUCAGCACGGUUGGUAAUCGUGCGCAGAGCGUAUGAGUAUAAGGGUGCUUGACUGAGAGAGGGACGCCUCGAACAGGGUCGAAAGACGGCUUAAGUGAUCCGGUGGUUCCGCAUGGAAGGGCCAUCGCUCAAAGGAUAAAAGGUACUCCGGGGAUAACAGGCUGAUCUCCCCCAAGAGCUCACAUCGACGGGGAGGUUUGGCACCUCGAUGUCGGCUCGUCACAUCCUGGGGCUGGAGAAGGUCCCAAGGGUUGGGCUGUUCGCCCAUUAAAGUGGCACGCGAGCUGGGUUCAGAACGUCGCAAGACAGUUCGGUCUCUAUCUGUUGUGGGCGUAGGAGUAUUGAGGAGAUCUGUCUCCAGUACGAGAGGACCGGGAUGGACGUACCUCUAGUGUACCAGUUGUGGCGCCAGCUGCAUUGCUGGGUAGCUAUGUACGGCACGGAUAAGCGCUGAAAGCAUCUAAGCGCGAAGCCAACUCCAAGAUGAGUACUCCAAGUUCUACGGAACGAAAGGGUCCUGGAAGAUGACCAGGUUGAUAGGCUACAGGUGGAAGUGCAGUGAUGUAUGAAGCUGAGUAGUACUAAUUACCCGAAAGCUUCCUUUA